UAGAAGAGAUGAAACGCUGGAUAUGCGGUCCGUGUUGCCGAGGUUCAUGUGAUAUAGGGUCGACUCUACAUUCGUAAGUCAUCCUUCUGCCUCGAAAGGGUCGGUUGUCCCUUCAAAGUUUGGAACAUGUUGCUUACAAAACCGCUCAAAGACUAGCUCUAUGAACUGAGCUAAGAAGGAAGAAUAAAGAAGGAGAAAAAGAAAAGUUCUAAUAAUGUCUCACAAAACUCCCUUUUACUUGUCUUCUUUGCUGGAGCUAUGUUUCAAUGUGUCAGAUUCCUCAAGUUAGGCAAACCUAUGCUCAAAUCAUCGUCGAUUGUUUUUUUUCAAUCUCACUCUCCAAACUGACCUCUUGUUGGCUUAAUCCACAUGCGGUUCUCUCCCCCAUGCUUGCCAAAUGUUUGAUAAUAUGCCCGAGAGAAGCAUGCAUUCCUGGAACAUUUUGAUCUUCUCGUACGUUCAGCAUUUUAUGUUUUCUGUUGCUUUGGAUGUUUUUGAGAAAUUUAGGCAAAUGGGUCUUCGACCUGAUCAUUAUACAUUACCUCCUCUAUUUAAGGCGUGCGCAGGGAUUGGAGAUGAAUUUCUGGGUAGGUUGCUUUAUGGGUUGGUGAUUAAGCUCGGGCUUGAGGGAUAUGUAGUUGUGAGGAGUUCAUUCUUGGAUUUCUGUAUAAAAUGUGGAUGUAUAACAGAUGUCAAACGGGUAUUUUCUUAUAUGUCGUGGAAAGAUUCUGUUGCGUGGAGUUUGAUGAUUUCCUGGUUUGGAAGAGCUGGUUUGUAUAAGGAUUCUCUGAAUAGUUUUAGAGAAAUGCUUUUAGCUGGAGUGAAGAUAGAUGCUGUGACAAUUCCUAGUGUUUUGAAUGCUUGAUGUGGAGAUGGAGCCUGGAAUUUGUAUCGCCUUAUUAAAUUAUGGGGCUUUAAGACUUUUUCUGUUGCCUAUUUGGCCCUUGAUGCCUGCUUUCAAAGAUGUGUUUACUUACAUUUCUUUUUGAAGUCGUUGAACUUGAGCCUUAUUUUGCAGGCAUAACUCUAAGAAGAUUAGACUCUUUACUGGAUGUUGUUUCUUGCCAGUUUUCACAGCAUGGAUGUGCUGGACCUGCAGUGGUCUGCUGAUGGUGCAUUUCUUAAUUCUUGAUUAGUUGAUAAUUCUUGCCUCAUAUGGGAUGUAACCAAAGAUUUUGCAUGCCCACUUUCAUUAUGUUCAAGGUGUUGCAUGGGAUCCGUUAUCCAAGUAUGUUGCUUCUCUUAGUUCAGAUAGAACUUGCAGAAUUUAGGUCAAUAAGCCUCAAACAAAAUCAAAAGGGACAGAAGAUAAAUUAUGUUUGUCAGCAUGUAAUUGCAAAAGCAGAACAACUGGCAGAUGAUUGUAAGGAUCUUACAAGAUUUCGCCUUCAGUGGAAACAAUAAACACAGCUUAUAUUUUUUCUCGAAAAGACCUUACAAGACCAGCUCUACAGCUUCCUGGUGUCAGCAAACCUGUAACAGCAGUUUGCUUCUGCCCCUUGCGAUUUAGCCUCCGAGGAUCAAAUCAAUGCGUUGAUUCUUGUUAAUUGUUCUUUUUGAACAUGAGCCAUAGUGGCCACUUUGAAUUCCUUGUAUGUUUACAACACAAAGAGUACUCCUCCAAUCGCAGUACUAGCCGGUCUUCACUAUGCUGCUAUAACUGAUAUUGCUUGGUCAUCAGAUGCUCGUUAUUCAGCGUUGUCGUCUCAAGGUGGGUACUGCACUUUCGUAGAAUUUGAUAAUGAUGAAUUAGGAUCUCCCAUCUUACCAGACAAGCCAAAGUCCUAUUCAGAAGGCAGAAGACAUGGCAAUUGAAGUAACACCAAACGACAAUCCUGUUGCAGCGAAUGACUUCACGAAAUCAUAAGCAGAAAAGAAUGAAGGGAAACAAACGCCACCAGCCUCCUCUACUAGUACUCCCAUCGUGAGUAAUAAGUCUGCCAGGAGGCGCAUUACUCUCAUGGCUAUUGAUCCUUGAAUUUUAAAUUGCCAUCACCACCUCUGUAAUUUUGCCUCAUUUUACUAAUAUUAUUUCACAGUGCGGUUCAUUUUAUGAUCAAUCAUUUUUUGAGGAGGGGCUUUGUAUAAUAGUUGCUAAGCUAGAAAAUACAACCCUUUUACCAGAGAACUAGACUCUAUGCCUUCAAUUCUUAUUUUACUUAUAGAUAGAUAAUUGUGUUGGUUAAUUAAGUGAGAUAAUAUUUGUAAGCCUAAGGCAAUGGGUGGGCUUGGCUUACAUGAUCAUAUUUCUUUUAACGAGGCUUUAGUGGCCAAAAAAAAGAUAUGACUCGCGGGUCUUUAUUGGUGAUCGAAUAAUUGGUGAUUGAGCUAGUUUGAAAGAUUUGAUGACCCUUCGUUUAGUAGAUGUGGUUUUAGUAGAUGGCGUGGCCUUAUUGGUCAAUGUCCGACUCCUAUUAGGCAUUUUAACAGAGAAAUGGGGCCUGGAGUUUGUUUAGUAGAGUAAGAUGUGGUUUUUUCUUGCACUAAAAGGUGACAUAUGACUUUUUUCUUACAGUUUGUGAGGAAUUUGAUUCAACCAUGCUUACGUUCUUCACUUGUUUACAUUUUGUGAGUGUGUGAAGGUAUGUAGAAAAUAACCUCUUGACAAUUAAUGUACAACGGACGCCUUUGAAGGGGUGGUGCCUGAUCGUAGUGUGGUAGUGGUAACUUGGGAUUUCAAAAUUAUGGGUUCAUUUUCUAUUGAAGAGGUUCUUCUUCUUGCUAUUUGCGUCGGACUUAAUGUGUCUUAUCAACAACUUAAAUUGAAAAUUGGUAUAUUAGAAUGUGAUGUUGCUAUGACAAAUACACCAUAAUAUAAUAUGCUUCUAGCUAGUGUUGGUCCUAUUAUUAUUAUUGAUGAUGUUUACUUGGUUUUUGUCGCUCUAGCUACUAAUUAUUUUUUGCAAAUUGAGUGAUAGUAUUUUUGUUAUUAGUUCUAUAAGAGACAAUUAGUGGUUGAAUAUGUUGCACUAUUUUAUUUUCUUGUGCCGUGGAAUAAUUGAUUUUGUUGAAUAAAGAACCUUGCCUUUUAGAUGGAAUCAGGAAGAUACAUUUUACUAUUAGAUAUAUCUCUUUUAUAUAAAAUAAAUGUGUAAAUUAAGGAAAUUUUUUUGUUCUAAUGUUUUUUUAUUUUUUUUCCAUUAACUUUAACUGAAUACUUUUAUAUUUAACAAAAUAUUCUUAUAUUUAAUGGUAGAUUGUAAGAAUGAC